AGCGGGUGAUAGCUCUUGCUUCUUGUGAGAGUUGCUAACGGCCGAUUGGUGCCUAGUAAUCUGCCUGGUAGUGGGGGAUAACGCCCCGAAAUGAACGCUAAUACCGCAUACGUCCUACGGGAGAAAGCAGGGGACCUUCUGGCCUUGCGCUAUCCAUGAGCCUAGGUCGGAUUAUCUAGUUGGUGAGGUAAUGGCUCACCAAGGCAACGAACCGUAACUGGUCUGAGAGGAUGAUCACNCACACUGGAACUGAGACACGGUCCAAACUCCUACUGGAGGCAGCAGUGGGGAAUAUUGGACCUUGGGCGAAAGCCUGAUCCAGCCAUGCCGCGUGUGUGAAGAAGGUCUUCGGAUUGUAAAGUACUUUCAGCUGGGAGGAAUGGUUUUUGACUAG
rnacentral:rRNA from 1 species